UCUGUUCUUCUCCAAAAUAAAUCACUGCCAACAGAGAACUAACAAGAAACUGAUGUAAUAUCAAAAAAAAAACCUCAAUCUCAUAAGCUACUCUAAAUCUCUUGAAUAAGCAUAUUCGUGGCGUCCAAGAAAACAAAACAAAACAAAAAGAUAAUAAAGCCAACAGAAUAACACAAAAGGCAUUACCAGCAGUCUCUGAAUGAUGCCAUCACGGUAGACCAUGAGGUGCGACAAAUAGCUUCGUGCAUAGUAAUUUGUGAAGUAUUCUCUCACAGUUUCGUUGUAAGAUUGGUCAGGAGACUGAGGAACAGCACGCAUAAGUACUGUAAAAUGACUUGGCUUUGAGGAAGAUGCAGCGAUAUAUGCCAGCCUCUUUUUGGCUAUGGUCUUAUACUCCUAAAACACGUAUUAUAACAGAAGUGAGAGAGAGAGAGAGAACAAAACGAUAUGAUGUACAUGAACCAGGGAAUGGGAUCCUUACAAAGUAAAGAAGAGCACAUGCCGCAGAGGAUAUGAUGUACAGUGAUAGACAAUGUACCCAAAGCCUGGAAAUAAAUAAGAAAAGAUUAAACUAGAAUCAGCACUUUGCUUUCUUUUGUAAAGCACUUUACUUGCCCUGAGAUUUAAGGGGCUAUAGACGGCUAAAAUUUAUUUCUAUGUAAUUUUUUCCAAAAACUUUGUGGGAUUUAAAGCCAAUGUUUCGUCAGGCUUUUGCGCAUGACGGGCUCUGAUAAUAUAUGACAAUACUAGUGGAGUUAAGGCAGCAUUACCAUCUUGAGCGUGGAUUAAGGUUUUCAAUAGUGAAUAUUGACAACGGCUCGAGAUGAGCUUCCUUGUGCUCCAUCAUCGGUCCGUAAUAGUUCACAGGCAGAACAAAUGAAAUGCAAACAACCGCAACGACUGAGAAGAUACGAAUGCUGCAAAUGACCAUCCUGAUGAAGACCACAGCGUCGAGACCAGCAGCAGCCAACAUCUCGUCCUCGGUAGUUUCCCAAGCCUUGACGAGCCAACUCGGAGAGGGAGCAAACCUCUCGUACCAACGAGGAUCGUUGCGUUUAACUCUUCCACCGGAAAGCAUCCGGCCAAAGUAGACGCAAUAGUUGGAGGGCUGUUUCCUUAGGAUGGAGUAAAGCGAGACGAGGACUACGCAUAUCCCGACGUUAAUCCCAGCAGAGGUUAAGAGCGCUGAAACAUCCAUCUCUCACUUUGUUGUUCAGACUCUUGUCUUAAACUAAAUAAUGAAGGCAGAGAAGAACAUAAUCAGCUGCUCAGUAACAGCUUUUAAAGUCGUCUAAAAGAUCUGUAAAGAAAAGGGAAAAAAGUUUGCAAGAAUAAGAAAAAAAGACUUUCCAAAUCCUAAGAAGUGGUAACGUUUGAACAUUGAGAUCUGGCAAGUAUUAGUUGGCAUUAAAUGAAUCUAAGCUAUGAUUUAAAGGCUGAUCACAAGUAACCAAUGACAAAGGAUGAAACAAAAUAGCAUAAGAGUUCUAAAACGAAAUCAAAAUAUCUAAUUUAACUUCUUAAACCAAUCGUCCUCUAUAACUAUUAACUAACCACCACAAUUUCAUAUAACCAGAAAAAACAGGGGAAUCCAAUUACGUUAUAUGAUUCCACAACAAUCGAAACAAGAACGUGCACGGAACCAAAGCCCAGAUUUUUAUGAGAGAUUCGAUCACAAUUCGCAGAGGUUAAUCGAAAUUGAGAAUCUACCCAGAAGAAGGAACGAAAACGAUAAUUCGAGCAAACGAUGGCUUACACGGAAGAAGAAGAUGAACACUUUUUGCUUUGACUUGAGAGAAUCAGAAACCUUAAUAAUUAUUCGCAAGAUUCACGAUGUGCACCUUAUACCCCAUUUCCGCGGAGAAUUCGCGUUCAAGUUCAUAUGCCAUUAUAAUCUACCAAAAAAAAAAAUAAUAAUAAAAGAAUUCAAAUAUUUAAAACUUUUCCCCUUUUUUGUUUAGAAAGAAUAAUAAAAAAACUUAUUAAACAAAAAAAAAGUCAGAUAAUUAUUAGGUGAGGAUUUGUCAUUUACGGAAAAAAAAAAUCAUAAACCCAACCAAAAAAGUCAGAUAAACUUUCAUACAUGCUAAUAAAAUCUACAAUAUUCAAAUAACAACUUCCUUUUUUACAAUUAAAAAAAACAACUUUUCCUUUUCUUUGUCACAAAAAAAAACUUAUUAAACAAAAAGAAAGAUAAUUAUUAGGUGAGCAAUGAGCAUUAUCAUUUACGGAAGAAAAAAAAUCAUAAAGCCAACAAAAAAAAACGAUAAAUAAUAUUAGGCGACAAAUCCCACGUUGUGUGUGGUGUAAAUGUGGAAGGUGCCAGAUCAAAUGACGUGGCAUGACCUCAAUGGUGGAGACUGUCUCUACGUCGCCAAAGUCUUACUUAACCGGUGAUUGCGACUACCAUGUCGGCUACUUUAUAACCCUUCGAUGGUCUCGACCCGAUACGAUUAUGACACGUGACAUUCUACAGCGACAGUUAAAAACCGUUUUUUUUUUGCCCGGGAAAGUAUUUAUAGAAGUAGGGUCGCAUAUCUAACUAAUCCUUGUUUACUGCCAACAGAGAACUAACAAGAAACUGAUGUAAUAUCAAAAAAAAAACCUCAAUCUCAUAAGCUACUCUAAAUCUCUUGAAUAAGCAUAUUCGUGGCGUCCAAGAAAACAAAACAAAACAAAAAGAUAAUAAAGCCAACAGAAUAACACAAAAGGCAUUACCAGCAGUCUCUGAAUGAUGCCAUCACGGUAGACCAUGAGGUGCGACAAAUAGCUUCGUGCAUAGUAAUUUGUGAAGUAUUCUCUCACAGUUUCGUUGUAAGAUUGGUCAGGAGACUGAGGAACAGCACGCAUAAGUACUGUAAAAUGACUUGGCUUUGAGGAAGAUGCAGCGAUAUAUGCCAGCCUCU
rnacentral:lncRNA from 1 species